rnacentral:rRNA from 1 species
UACGAAGGGUGCAAGCGUUAAUCGGAAUUACUGGGCGUAAAGGGUGCGUAGGCGGUUCGUUAAGUCUGUCGUGAAAUCCCCGGGCUCAACUUGGGAAUUGCAGUGGAUACUGGCAGGCUGGAGUAUGGUAGAGGAAGGUGGAAUUCCCGGUGUAGCAGUGAAAUGCGUAGAGAUCGGGAGGAACACCAGUGGCGAAGGCGGCCUUCUGGACCAAUACUGACGCUCAUGCACGAAAGCGUGGGGAGCAAACAGG